rnacentral:tRNA from 1 species
AGAAACUUAAGUUAUACUAAACUAGGAGCCUUCAAAGCCCCCAAAAAAGACCGCUUUAGUUUCUG